GAAAGGACCUGGAAUCUGUGUCUCCUGUCUUCCAGCUGCUUUGGAACUGACCCUUUUGAAGACAUGCUUUCUGGGGCCUGGGGAGCUUCUUAUCCGUGAGAAGUCUCUCAACAGGAUGUAAAAUUUGCACAGAACAGAAAUCCAAAAUGUCUUCUCUCCUCCCACAACCAAUGAGAGGGUAGAAGGACCUCUGACAUCGUGUGGUGAACCUCACUGGGAGGUUGCUGACUUCAGCUGUCUCUGUCUCCUUCCUCCAUGCUCUCUGAAGGAGAAAGCAGAAGAAAAGACGAAGGGACAGACAUCAGAAGAGGAGCAUCGAAGACAAGCUUGAGAGUGCUUUGCUGGAUUUUCAAAGAAUGGCGAGAAUCAGCUGUUGGCAUUUGCCAUAUAAACAUAUGGAGACUUACCAACUCAAGAGAACAUACUAGACAACUGAGAACAGAGCACAUUCCUGAAGAAAAGGGGAUAUGCUAUAUACACCAGGGUGACUGAACUCUCCUGUCUGGAUGGAAGGAUUUCAGCCAGGUCAUUAACAAAACUGCCUUAAAGAAGCUCUUGAUUCUUUAUGGAAGAAGUAAAAGGGGAAACAGUGUUCAGAGCAUACCAGGAAAGUAUCACAAUUGCCUUCCUGGUGCCUGUGCAUUGCAAGAAGAAAUAAACAUAGCAAGGUUAUCUCUGAUAAAGUGCA
rnacentral:lncRNA from 1 species